rnacentral:lncRNA from 1 species
GGCAGAAGGUAUGAAGGACAUGAAAGAAUACAGAUUCUAUGCAUCGUCCCAGCCCAGAAAAAGAAACAGUUUCUCACAAGGCUUGGAGUACGCAAAAGGUGUGGCCUGCAGUUAAGGUGGGGUCACAAUACCCCAAGGCCCAGUGAAAUAUUUCAGUGCUAACAACUGAAACCUUGAAAGUGGAGGAUACGUUUCAAAAUCAACCUGAGAGUGACAAAUAACCCAAAAAAGAAUAUAUAGCUAUUUUGAAAAGCAUUAAUGCAGAAUAUAUCUUAGUCAACAGAAGUCAGCAGAAGUCAGAGUUGCUCAUAAGCUCUUCUGAUCCUUAGGUUUUGUCUUCCAGAAGAAAAGCACAUUAAAAACAUGACAGACAUAUUGAGUACACUCCUCUAGAGCUUAUACACACCUGAGUGAGCAUGAGUUACUCAAGUCCUUGACCAGGCCCCUCCCACAGGUUCACAGAGUGAACACAGCCAGUGUUCUCUGUAAAGCUAAACCCAAAAAACAAAACCAGGAGAGACAAGGUCAAGUAACACUUAGCUCUUUUUGAGUUGAAUCAUAACCCUGAAUUAUCAAUUGUCCUUAGGUGCAAGCUUUGCUUUCUGAUGAAAGAUUCCACAGAAUCCAGAUUUACGUAAGUGUUAUUAGAACCACAGGAUAGAAUUAUUUGUUCUAAAUCAUGAGAAAUCUGAUCUGUUAGAGGGCUAGAUAAAAUUUAAAAAGCUUGAAAACGAACGUCCACACUGGGCCACUGUAGAAUAAAUCUAUCUUUCUAUUCCUUCUUCCAAUCUGAACAUUUCCAAGUGAUUUACAGAGCACCUCAGACACUGCUCAGCCUGCUAUAGGGAACUGUCCAACCUCCUGUCGCUUCUAGAGCUUGGCUCUAACCUGCAAACAAAGUCCCAGCUCUUUCACAACAUUGACAAGAUCUCGGCUCACUGCAUUUUCCUUCUUCAUUCCACUUGGGAGUGCCAGAUGUUCCUUUCCUCUGAGGACUGCUCAGUUCCCCUCAGAAGAGAAGACAUCUGCCUGUCCUCUGAAACAUCGUCAGCAUGAGAACUCCUCUGAUACAUUCCUACGUUUUUUCUUUUCAAUCCUGAAAGCAGUGAGGUCAACAAAUGAAAAUGUAAGCAAUUUUCAAAAUAAGAUAAUAUACCCAAAAUUCCAUUAAAUAAACAUCAACUUUUUUUUUUUUUUUUAAUAUGUAAUGAUCUUCUGUAUAACAGUAAUCCCACUACUGGUAAAUAGCUGCAAAACAGAGAAGAAAUUCUUAACAGUAUCUGAAAUUUUGGAAAAAUAAGUUU